UACGAAGGUCCCAAGCGUUGUUCGGAAUCACUGGGCGUAAAGGGUGCGUAGGCGGCGUGGUAAGUCAGAUGUGAAAUCCCGGGGCUCAACCCCGGAACUGCAUCCGAUACUGCCGUGCUAGAGGACUGGAGAGGUGACUGGAAUUCUCGGUGUAGCAGUGAAAUGCGUAGAGAUCGAGAGGAACACCAGUGGCGAAGGCGGCAUCCUGGACUGGUCCUGACACUCAGGAGCGAAAGCGUGGGGAGCGAUCCGG
rnacentral:rRNA from 1 species